rnacentral:rRNA from 1 species
AGAGUUUGAUCCUGGCUCAGGAUGAACGCUAGCGGCAGGCCUAACACAUGCAAGUCGAGGGGUAUAGAGAGCUUGCUUUCUAGAGACCGGCGGAUGGGUGAGUAACGCGUAUGCAACCUACCUUUUACAGGGGAAUAGCCCGGAGAAAUUCGGAUUAAUGCUCCAUGGUUUAUAGAGAUGGCAUCAUUUUUAUAAUAAAGAUUUAUCGGUAAAAGAUGGGCAUGCGUAUCAUUAGCUAGUUGGUGUGGUAACGGCAUACCAAGGCAACGAUGAUUAGGGGUCCUGAGAGGGAGAUCCCCCACACUGGUACUGAGACACGGACCAGACUCCUACGGGAGGCAGCAGUGAGGAAUAUUGGUCAAUGGAGGCAACUCUGAACCAGCCAUGCCGCGUGCAGGAUGACGGUCCUAUGGAUUGUAAACUGCUUUUGUACGGGAAGAAAUGUAAUUACGUGUAAUUAUUUGACGGUACCGUAAGAAUAAGGAUCGGCUAACUCCGUGCCAGCAGCCGCGGUAAUACGGAGGAUCCGAGCGUUAUCCGGAAUUAUUGGGUUUAAAGGGUUCGUAGGCGGUUUAGUAAGUCAGUGGUGAAAUCUUGCAGCUUAACUGUAAAAUUGCCGUUGAUACUGCUAGACUUGAAUAGUAUGGAAGUAAUUAGAAUAUGUAGUGUAGCGGUGAAAUGCUUAGAUAUUACAUGGAAUACCAAUUGCGAAGGCAGAUUACUACGUACUUAUUGACGCUGAUGAACGAAAGCGUGGGUAGCGAACAGGAUUAGAUACCCUGGUAGUCCACGCCGUAAACGAUGGAUACUAGCUGUUCGGUUUUCGGACUGAGUGGCUAAGCGAAAGUGAUAAGUAUCCCACCUGGGGAGUACGUUCGCAAGAAUGAAACUCAAAGGAAUUGACGGGGGCCCGCACAAGCGGUGGAGCAUGUGGUUUAAUUCGAUGAUACGCGAGGAACCUUACCAGGGCUUAAAUGUAGAUUGACAGGUUUAGAGAUAGACUUUCCUUCGGGCAAUUUACAAGGUGCUGCAUGGUUGUCGUCAGCUCGUGCCGUGAGGUGUCAGGUUAAGUCCUAUAACGAGCGCAACCCCUAUUGUUAGUUGCCAGCACGUCAUGGUGGGAACUCUAGCAAGACUGCCGGUGCAAACCGCGAGGAAGGUGGGGAUGACGUCAAAUCAUCACGGCCCUUACGACCUGGGCUACACACGUGCUACAAUGGCCGGUACAGAGGGCAGCUACCACGUGAGUGGAUGCGAAUCUUCAAAGCCGGUCACAGUUCGGAUCGGAGUCUGCAACUCGACUCCGUGAAGCUGGAAUCGCUAGUAAUCGGAUAUCAGCCAUGAUCCGGUGAAUACGUUCC